ACAAGCUCAUAAGUUUACAUGAAAUCAACCCGCAGUCCUAUUUUAAGUUUAGAAAACGUUUCAUUUUUACGUUAAACCCCCUAUCCUCCACCGGCAGCUUAUCCAUUCCCGUUCUCCACCACCGGGAGUACGCGCCGUCCAAGCCCAGGAAUAGAACGAGGCGUCGCGGCAGGGGUUGUCUGCGGCCCACGUGAGCGAGGCGAGGGGCGGCCCGAGACGGUCGAUAGUGGCGCUGUCGUCGUUGUCCGCGAGGUAGAGGGUCGCGGCGCCGGUCGCAGGGAGGAGGGGGGCACCGGCGGCUGGUGAACUCGGAGGCUGCGGCUGUGCGACGACGUCCGUGGUGGUGGCGACAGCUACGACGACGCGACCACGAUGCGGCAGGGGAUGGAGGCUUCCUCGCCUGGGCUCGGGCGCGUCAGCACGGCGUCGGGCCGUUGCCGGUGGCGUCGAGGCCGGCGCACGCACGGACAGGGCGCCCAAGGGUGAGCCGCCGCGACGUGUGGGCGGGCUGAGCCGGGCGUUCAACCACGAUGCGGCGGGGAUGAAAGCCGCCUUGCCGGGGCUUGCGGGGCAGCACGGCGUCGGGCCGUUGAGCAGAUCUUCUCCAUCCACGAGUCCAACUUCCUGUUUGGCGCGCAGGCGCUGGAGCCGGCAGGGGCGUGCUCUGCGGGGCACGCUCGCCGCGGCCGUGCUGGUCAGGCUCGAGCGCUGACUGCGGGAGCUGUCCGGGAACCCCGAGGCCCGCGUAGUGGACUACUUCAAGCAGGGUCCGGCGCCGGAUGGUUCCUGGCGGCUGCGUUGUUCGCGCGCCGGAUGCCGGCGGAGGCGGCGUGUGACGUCGUGGCCAAGAACCGCAAGGUGUUCUCCGGGCGCCACGGCCGCGGUGGGUUCUUCUCCGGGGCCGAUGCAGAAAUGUAGGGAAAGGCUGCGUACUAUAGACCCAAAGUGGUCGGACCCUUCCCUGGACCCUGCGCAAGCGGGAGCUACAUGCACCAGGUUGCCCUUUUAGGUUUUGUAAUUGCUUGAAGUUGUCCAGUUCAGAUGUCCAUACACUUCAAUGAAAUACCCUCAGCUGCUUUCCAAUCUGAGAGUUGAAUCGAAGGUGUGCAUUUGAACCCGUGAAAUUAUUAUUUUGUUUUUUCUAUCUCAUCAGUUUUUUGAUUCUUAGAUUGAAGAGAUCCUACGGAAUUCUACAACAUCUGAAUUUGGUAGUGUAUAUUAUUUUUCGGAGAGAGGUGAUUGAAUGAUUGAUCUUGAUGUGUUCCAUCAAAAGCUUAUCUAGGUUGCUUGUUCAGUCUUGUUCAUAUUGGGUUUGAGAUUAUUAUGUUCUUCAAGUUGCUUCUCUUGAUGUUUAGAUGUCUCAAGAACUGCGCACACAAUUGAGCGAGUCUGAGAAAGGAGAGCUAAAAGAAUCGUUCCAUCAUAUGCUGAAAUGGGCCUGGAGAUAUAAUAAAUAUCUUGAAGAACAGGCAGCCCAGCUUCACAUGUUAACUAGCUGGUCGAAAACUGUUGAAGUGAGUUGUGUGUGUGCAUGACCACUUAAUCUUUUCUGUUGGGAAUUUCAUAUUGUAACCCGCUUAUUGUUAAUUUCAGGCAGCUGUAUCAAGAAGUAAUAAUUUUAAGACAUUGAAGUUCAGAACCUCUAUUGAAACUCUUUCGUAGUAUUAUAUGAACUUCUGUAUUUGAACUCUUUCAUAGACGUUUAUACUGAGGUUGCUCUUCUAUAGACAUUUAUAGAGGUUGCUCUUUUAUAGACAUUUCGAAGCAAGCCGCUAAGCCCAAGUCUCGAAUCAGGAUUGUCGUCGUUUGUCAGUCCCAAGUAUUUGAAUUCUUCCGUAUCUCUGCUCUUGAUUACGUAUGGUGCGAGAUUCUAAUUUCUUGGACUAUAGUGCAGCUAGGAGAUUGUGGCGGCAGCGGUGGGUUUUGGGUCGGCGAGCUGCAGGGAUUUGCUGGACGCACGCCGUCACAUGUCGAGCCACACAUAGUGACCAAUGGUGGCGGAUUAGAGUUGGAAUUCAAGAGGUUUGUGUGGUUUCAGUUAUCCGAUGAUUGGGCGAGAGCGGAGCAACAGAGGCCGGCCAAGAACAUGACCAGGGAUAACACAUCUUGCUUGAUUUCCCGAGCGACCCAAGGUUGGUUGCAUCCUGCAUGACCUCAUAUUGUUCAUGAGAGUUUUGUGAUGUUCUUUUUUUAGAGAAGUUUUGUGAUCUUAAUUCAUGAGACAUUUGACGUGAUACUAUGUGGCUGUAAACGUAAUCUGCAAUUCAGAGCAAACAGAGUGAACAAACCAAGGACAUGCAGGUUAGUCCGUUAGUGUCUUACUUUUCUUUUUGUAAUUCUAUCGUACUGUAUAGUUAGUACAAAAUCAUCAAAUAUUCAGGAUAUGUUUAUAAUUUUGUGAAACUGAAAUGUGCAACAUGUUCACUGGACUGGUGAAUUAUAAUUUUGUGAAACUGAAAUGUGUUACUGAAACCUGACUGGUGAUGAACUAACCGAUUCACACAAAGGCUUGCUGAUAACAACUUGAGUUGGCCGAGUCUCGCUGAGUUGAGCGUGGAGUAGAAGGUGUCGAGUGAACUUGAGUCAGUGUCAUUCGCUGUAAUGAUCGCCCGGGCGGCCGUGUAGCUGUCUUAGAUGGAGUCCAGGGGGAAGACCAAGAGGAGGUGCGAUAAGAUUGAGCUUUCCAGAAUUUUGGGGAGGUGGCGCUUGUCGCACUGCAAAACUUUUAUUUGUAUAUGUUGCAUGCUACUACCUCCUAAUCAAUAUGUCAUUGAAAUGAAGUAGAUGCAGCUCUUCAUAGAUAUUGUCACAUGUUCUGGUUUGCAGGUUAAAUAUUUGAUGCCCUCAUUUUGGUAAUGAGAGCAAUGCAAUAUUCUGAAGGUCA